UAACCCACUCGUUCACAAACCCACUCACACACUAACUCCCUCAUUCACACACUAACCCACUCGUUCACACACUAACUCACCCACUCAUUCACACACUAACUCAUUCACACUCAUUCACACACUAACCCGACUCAUUCACACACUAACCCACUCAUUCACACACACACCCAUUCAUUCACACUAACUCACCCACUCAUUCACACACUAACCCACUCGUUCACACACCCACUCAUUUACACACCAACUCACCCACUCGUUCACACACCCUCUCAUUCACACACUAACUCACCUACUCAUUCACACACUAACCCAUUCAUUCACACACUCACCCACUCAUUCACACACUAACUCACCCACUCGUU
rnacentral:lncRNA from 10 species